UUGCCAGUGAUGGUUACGAAUUUCUUCACCUGAAUAAACGAUGUGGUCACGUUGUAUCUGAGGCAAA